CGGAAAACGACCGCAAUAUGUCUGACUGCGAUCGUCAGUGAAUUGUGCUGCUGUCGUCUUUGUUGAUACGAUAAAGUUGUGCGAAGUUCCGGCUAAUUCAUUCUAUUUUCUAAUUUUGAUCACGAAAUACCAUAGUUCAAAAAUAGGCUUUGUUUUUGUAUUUUUUACCCCCAAAAUAAUUAUAUUCCUCGAAUAAUCGCUAUUUUACUCGUAAAUUUCAUAUUUUAAAAUAAAAACGUUUUGAUAAAAGU
rnacentral:ribozyme from 1 species